AUGUUUCAAGCCCUAACCGAACGUCAUGCCAUGCCAUACAGAUCCAUCUCCAUGUCUAUCCUCACCACUAAAUGCCAUGCUUCAUACUUCUCAUUACAAAAACCGAACCUUGCAUCCUGCACAUAUCCUACAUCAGUAAACAAAAGAAUAGCCCUGCAAACAUCAAAAACAGUCCAGAAAACCCUCUAUCAAACCUCUAACAAAAAACAUAAAUUUCAAACCGUUUUUAACAACUCCUAA